rnacentral:rRNA from 1 species
UACGCAGGGGGCUAGCGUUGCUCGGAAUCACUGGGCGUAAAGCGCACGUAGGCGGCUUGUUAAGUCAGGGGUGAAAUCCUGGAGCUCAACUCCAGAACUGCCUUUGAUACUGGCGAUCUUGAGUCCGGGAGAGGUGAGUGGAACUGCGAGUGUAGAGGUGAAAUUCGUAGAUAUUCGCAAGAACACCAGUGGCGAAGGCGGCUCACUGGCCCGGUACUGACGCUGAGGUGCGAAAGCGUGGGGAGCAAACAGG